rnacentral:rRNA from 1 species
CUACGGGAGGCAGCAGUGGGGAAUAUUGGGCAAUGGGGGAAACCCUGACCCAGCAACGCCGCGUGGAGGAAGAAGGUUUUCGGAUCGUAAACUCCUGUCCUCAGAGACGAGAAGAAGACGGUAUCUGAGGAGGAAGCCCCGGCUAACUACGUGCCAGCAGCCGC